GACGAACGCUGGCGGCGUGCUUAACACAUGCAAGUCGAACGGAAAGGCCCUGCUUUUGUGGGGUGCUCGAGUGGCGAACGGGUGAGUAACACGUGAGUAACCUGCCCUUGACUUUGGGAUAACUUCAGGAAACUGGGGCUAAUACCGGAUAGGAGCUCCUGCUGCAUGGUGGGGGUUGGAAAGUUUCGGCGGUUGGGGAUGGACUCGCGGCUUAUCAGCUUGUUGGUGGGGUAGUGGCUUACCAAGGCUUUGACGGGUAGCCGGCCUGAGAGGGUGACCGGCCACAUUGGGACUGGGAUACGGCCCGGCCUCUUAGGGGAGGAAGCGGGGGGGAAUGUUCCCAAAGGGGCGAAGCCUGAUGCAGCAACGCCGCGUGCGGGAUGACGGCCUUCGGGUUGUAAACCGCUUUCGCCUGUGACGAAGCGUGAGUGACGGUAAUGGGUAAAGAAGCACCGGCUAACUACGUG
rnacentral:rRNA from 1 species